UCCCUGGAGGACUAGUGGUUAGGCUACAGCACUCUCACCACUGCAGCCCGGGUUCGAUUCCCGGCCAGGGAA
rnacentral:tRNA from 1 species